AGUGGCGAACGGGUGAGUAAUACAUCGGAACGUGCCCAGUAGUGGGGGAUAGCUCGGCGAAAGCCGGAUUAAUACCGCAUACGACCUACGGGUGAAAGCGGGGGAUCGCAAGACCUCGCGCUAUUGGAGCGGCCGAUGCCAGAUUAGGUUGUUGGUGGGGUAAAAGCCCACCAAGCCGACGAUCUGUAGCUGGUCUGAGAGGACGACCAGCCACACUGGGACUGAGACACGGCCCAGACUCCUACGGGAGGCAGCAGUGGGGAAUUUUGGACAAUGGGCGAAAGCCUGAUCCAGCCAUGCCGCGUGCGGGAAGAAGGCCUUCGGGUUGUAAACCGCUUUUGUCAGGGAAGAAAUCUUCCGAGCUAACACCUCGGGAGGAUGACGGUACCUGAAGAAUAAGCACCGGCUAACUACGUGCCAGCAGCCGCGGUAAU
rnacentral:rRNA from 1 species